ensembl:lncRNA
CCAUCCUCACCCUGAGAGGAGAGGAGUCCCUCUCUGUCCACCAUCCUCACCCUGAGAGGAGAGGAGUCCCUCUCUGUCCACCAUCCUCACCCUGAGAGGAGAGGAGUCUGUCUCUGUCCACCAUCCUCACCCUGAGAGGAGAGGAGUCUGUCUCUGUCCACCAUCCUCACCCUGAGAGGAGAGGAGUCUGUCUCUGUCCACCAUCCUCACCCUGAGAGGAGAGGAGCCUGAGGCCUGUUGAGGUGACUAGUACUGGCCUGAGGCCUGUUGAGGUGACUAGUACUGGCCUGUUGAGGUGACUAGUACUGGCCUGAGGCCUGUUGAGGUGACUAGUACGGGCCUGAGGCCUGUUGAGG